UUUCAAAUUUCUUUUGACUUUUUUACUCUGUAUGGUGGUAAUGUUUCUUACACAGUGAUUUCCGCCUAAUUGCUUUAAGGAUUCUGGUUUUCUGCAUUUUACAAGG